rnacentral:lncRNA from 1 species
ACCACCCAUACUCCGUCGUCCGCCGUCAUCAUCCACCACAAGUUCCAGCAACCCUCCCCGAAUCUUGUUAUCACCAGAUUCCUCCGUUAACAAUUGGCGCUAGAAGGAGGGGCUUUUUGACAUCUAUUGGAGGAAGGAUGUCUCAGGAUAUGAAGAACGACGCUACGGAUCAGAACCAGAAGGCUCCGGUGGACCCAACUGUCAUCGAGAUUACUGAUGCGCCACCACCACCACCGUCCGACAAUCAGCAAUCCCU